rnacentral:rRNA from 1 species
UCAAGCUGUAAAGGGCGCAAGGGGAAUGCCUUGGCACUGAGAGCCGACGAAGGACGCGACAAGCUGCGAUAAGCUACGGGGAGCCGCAAAUGGGCUUUGAUCCGUGGAUUUCCGAAUGGGGAAACCCGAUGGAGCAAUACUCCAUCAACCAUGACUGAAUACAUAGGUCAUGGUGGGGAACCGCCUGAACUGAAACAUCUAAGUAGGGCGAGGAAGAGAAAUCAACCGAGAUUCCGCUAGUAGUGGCGAGCGAACGCGGAAGAGGCCAAACCGAUAGUAGUAAUACUUUCGGGGUUUUGGACAGCAUACGGUAUUUACCAAGGUUAGUAGAAUGAAAUGGGAAGUUCAACCAUAGAGUGUGAGAGUCACGUAUACGAAAACUGAGGUAAGCUAGCUGUAUCCAGAGUACCGCCGGACACGUGAAACCCGGUGGGAAGACGGGGGGACCACCCUCCAAGCCUAAAUACUCUCCAAUGACCGAUAGCGUAUAGUACUGUGAAGGAAAGGUGAAAAGAACCCCUGGCGGGGAGUGAAAUAGAACCUGAAACCUUGUGCCUACAAGCACAUAGAGCACGUCAAUGUGUGAUAUGGUACCUUUUGUAGAAUGGUCCGGCGAGUGAAUGUCACUAGCGAGGUUAAGUUCUUCAGGAACGCAGCCGAAGCGAAAGCGAGUCUUAAUAGGGCGAAUUAGUUAGUGGUAUUCGACCCGAAACCGGGUGACCUAGCCAUGAGCAGGCUGAAGUGGAGGUAAAACUCUAUGGAGGGCCGAACCCACUCCCGUUGAAAUGGUAGGGGAUGACUUGUGGCUAGCGGAGAAAUUCCAAUCGAACCCGGAGAUAGCUGGUUCUCUCCGAAAUAGCUUUAGGGCUAGCCUCAAUAAACAUUACUGCAGGUAAAGCACUGAAUGAGCUAGGGGGCGAAAGCUUACUGAACUCUAUCAAACUAAGAAUGGCAGAUAAUGAAUUAUUGGGAGUCACACUACGUGAGAUAAGUUUCGUGGUGGAAAGGGAAACAGCCCAGACCCACAGCUAAGGUCCCAAAGUACAGUUAAGUGGAAAAGGAUGUGAAAUUGCGCAGACAACCAGGAUGUUGGCUCAGAAGCAGCCACUCAUUCAAAGAGUGCGUAAUAGCUCACUGGUCGAGUGAUUUUGCGCCGAAAAUUUAACGGGGCUAAACUGUACACCGAAGCUUGGGAUGCGAUUUAUCGCAUGGUAGGAGAGCGUUGUGUAAGGGGUGAAGUCGUAGCGAAAGCGGCGGUGGACUUUACACAAGUGAGAAUGCCGGAAUGAGUAGCGAGAAUUAUGUGAGAAUCAUAAUGGCCGAAAGACUAAGGUUUUAGAAGGAAGGUUCGUCCGCUUCUAGUUAGCCGGGGGCUAAGGCGAGGCCGAGAGGCGUAGUCGAUGCACAUACGGUUGAGAUUCCGUAGCCACCUUGCAUUUAAGCGAAGGGACACAUUUGAAGGGCAUAUCCCGGGCGUUGGUUGACCCGGGCGUAAGGGACCGAAAAUAAGUAGGGAAGUAUGUUUGGAAAGUGGCGAGAAAAGCUUCGUGUAUAUAAGCAGGGUGCCCGUACUGCAAACCGACACAGGUAGUCAGGAAGAGGAUUCUAAGGCCAUCGGGAGAAGUGUUGUUAAGGAACUCGGCAAAUUGACCCCGUAACUUCGGAAUAAGGGGUGCUCACGCGAGUGAGCCGCAGUGAAUAGGUCCAGGCAACUGUUUAUCAAAAACACAGCUCUCUGCUAAAUCGUAAGAUGACGUAUAGGGGGUGACACCUGCCCGGUGCUGGAAGGUUAAGAGGAGGGGUGCAAGCUCCGAAUUGAAGCCCCAGUAAACGGCGGCCGUAACUAUAACGGUCCUAAGGUAGCGAAAUUCCUUGUCGGGUAAGUUCCG